rnacentral:rRNA from 1 species
UACGAAGGGGGCUAGCGUUGCUCGGAAUCACUGGGCGUAAAGGGCGCGUAGGCGGCCGAUCAAGUCAGAGGUGAAAGCCCAAGGCUCAACCUUGGAAUUGCCUUUGAUACUGUUCGGCUAGAGACCGGAAGAGGUUAGUGGAACUGCGAGUGUAGAGGUGAAAUUCGUAGAUAUUCGCAAGAACACCAGUGGCGAAGGCGGCUCACUGGCCCGGUACUGACGCUGAGGUGCGAAAGCGUGGGGAGCGAACAGG